rnacentral:rRNA from 1 species
CCGUGCCCAAGAGAUCGGGAUAACACCUGGAAACAGAUGCUAAUACCGGAUAACAACAGAUGAUGCCUAUCAACUGUUUAAAAGAUGGUUCUGCUAUCACUCUUGGAUGGACCUGCGGUGCAUUAGCUAGUUGGUAGGGUGACGGCCUACCAAGGCGAUGAUGCAUAGCCGAGUUGAGAGACUGAUCGGCCACAUUGGGACUGAGACACGGCCCAAACUCCUACGGGAGGCAGCAGCC